GGGGGUGUGGCUUAGUGGGUAAAGUGACUAUCUCACACAUAUAAGGACCUGAGUUCAGAUCCCCAGCACCCAUG
rnacentral:tRNA from 1 species